rnacentral:rRNA from 1 species
GAUGAACGCUGGCGGCGUGCUUAAUACAUGCAAGUCGAGCGAACAGACGAGGAGCUUGCUCCUUUGACGUUAGCGGCGGACGGGUGAGUAACACGUGGGUAACCUACCUAUAAGACUGGGAUAACUUCGGGAAACCGGAGCUAAUACCGGAUAAUAUUUCGAACCGCAUGGUUCGAUAGUGAAAGAUGGCUUUGCUAUCACUUAUAGAUGGACCUGCGCCGUAUUAGCUAGUUGGUAAGGUAACGGCUUACCAAGGCAACGAUACGUAGCCGACCUGAGAGGGUGAUCGGCCACACUGGAACUGAGACACGGUCCAGACUCCUACGGGAGGCAGCAGUAGGGAAUCUUCCGCAAUGGGCGAAAGCCUGACGGAGCAACGCCGCGUGAGUGAUGAAGGUCUUCGGAUCGUAAAACUCUGUUAUUAGGGAAGAACAAACGUGUAAGUAACUGUGCACGUCUUGACGGUACCUAAUCAGAAAGCCACGGCUAACUACGUG